GUGCUCGCUUCAUCAGCACAUAUACUAAAAUUGAAAUGAUACAGAGAUUAGCAUGGCCCCUGCACAAGGAUGACACAUAAAUUUGUGCAGUGUUCCAUAUUUUU
ensembl:snRNA U6 U6 spliceosomal RNA